GGAAGAGCAUCGUUCCCGGUGGGGCGUCCGGACUUCAAAUCCGGGAAGGACCGCGAGUCGGUUCUUGGUGGGUUCGACUCCCAUUCUCUUCCGCCA
rnacentral:tRNA from 2 species